CCUGUGGAGGUUCUGGACCCAAAGGUGCAUGAGGCAGCACGGUGGGUGAGGCGCUCUCUGCACAGCUUUUCUCCUCGGGGCCACCAGCUGGGCGCUGCCCUUCACAGCUCCUCUCUGUGCCUGGGAGCAGCUG